rnacentral:rRNA from 1 species
AGAGUUUGAUCAUGGCUCAGAACGAACGUUAGCGGAGCGCCUAACACAUGCAAGUCGCACGAGAAAGGGCUUCGGCCCCGGUACAGUGGCGCACGGGUGAGUAACACGUAGGUAAUCUCCCCUCGAGUGGUGGAUAACCCUCCGAAAGGAGGGCUAAUACAGCAUGAGACCACAGCUUCGCUGAAGCAGCGGUCAAAGCAGGCCUCUACAUGUAAGCUUGCGCUUGAGGAUGAGCCUGCGGCCCAUCAGCUAGUUGGUAGGGUAAUGGCCUACCAAGGCUAAGACGGGUAGCUGGUCUGAGAGGAUGAACAGCCACACUGGAACUGAGACACGGUCCAGACUCCUACGGGAGGCAGCAGUGGGGAAUCUUGCGCAAUGGGCGAAAGCCUGACGCAGCGACGCCGCGUGAGCGAUGAAGGCCUUCGGGUUGUAAAGCUCUGUGGGGAGGAAAGAAUAAGGUUUGGCUAAUAUCCAAGCUGAUGACGGUACCUCCUUAGCAAGCACCGGCUAACUCUGUGCCAGCCGCCGCGGUAAUAC